AGAACGAACGCUGGCGGCAUGCCUAACACAUGCAAGUCGAACGUGAUCCAGACUUCGGUUUGGUGAAAGUGGCAAACGGGUGAGUAACGCGUGGGAACCUGCCCAGAGGUAGGGAAUAACUGCGGGAAACUGCAGCUAAUACCCUAUGUGCCCUACGGGGCAAAGAUUUAUCGCCUUUGGAGGGGCCCGCGUCGGAUUAGGUAGUUGGUAGGGUAACGGCCUACCAAGCCUACGAUCCGUAGCUGGUCUGAGAGGAUGAUCAGCCACACUGGGACUGAGAUACGGCCCAGACUCCUACGGGAGGCAGCAGUGGGGAAUAUUGGACAAUGGGCGCAAGCCUGAUCCAGCAAUGCCGCGUGAGUGAGGAAGGCCUUAGGGUUGUAAAGCUCUUUCACCCACGACGAUGAUGACGGUAGUGGGAGAAGAACGCCCGGCUAACUUCGCGCCAGCAGCCGC
rnacentral:rRNA from 1 species